rnacentral:ribozyme from 1 species
UCUGGUUUCAAUUUUUUUUUUUUUUUUUUUUUUUUUGCGAGUGGUGGUGGUGAAUGACUGAGUAUUUAUGUAUCUAUGAAGGGAGGUG